AGAGUCUGUGCCGGAGUUGACAGCUCGGCUCUACAACAGCUCUUGGACUCUGGGAUCUCGACGGGACGUCUAUGUGACUACAGCAUCAAACAAUACGCCUGCUCACAGCUGAAAGACCUCACAGCUGAGAACCUGGUCACAGUGCUGAAAUGUAAACUAUCAGAGAACAACACAGACUCCAAAGAGACCUGGAAGCUGUUCUUCACUAAAGCUUCUGCAGUUCUGGAUCAGGCUCUUGUACUUCUCUCC